rnacentral:rRNA from 1 species
GGUUAAGUGAAUAAGGGCGCACGGUGGAUGCCUUGGCACUAGGAGCCGAUGAAGGACGGGACUAACACCGAUAUGCUUUGGGGAGCUGUAAGUAAGCUAUGAUCCAGAGAUUUCCGAAUGGGGGAACCCAAUAUCUUUUAUAGGAUAUUACUUUUCAGUGAAUACAUAGCUGAUUAGAGGUAGACGCAGAGAACUGAAACAUCUUAGUACCUGCAGGAAGAGAAAGAAAAUUCGAUUCCCUGAGUAGCGGCGAGCGAAACGGGAAGAGCCCAAACCAACAAGCUUGCUUGUUGGGGUUGUAGGACUCCGAUAUGGUAGUCUGUUAGUAUAGUUGAAGGAUUUGGAAAAUUCCGCUAAAGAGGGUGAAAGCCCCGUAGACGAAAUGCUGACAACACCUAGGAGGAUCCUGAGUACGGCGGAACACGAGAAAUUCCGUCGGAAUCCGCGGGGACCAUCCCGCAAGGCUAAAUACUCCCUAGUGACCGAUAGUGAACCAGUACCGUGAGGGAAAGGUGAAAAGCACCCCGGAAGGGGAGUGAAAUAGAUCCUGAAACCGUGUGCCUACAACAAGUCAAAGCUCGUUAAUGAGUGAUGGCGUGCCUUUUGUAGAAUGAACCGGCGAGUUACGAUUGCAUGCGAGGUUAAGUCGAAGAGACGGAGCCGCAGCGAAAGCGAGUCUGAAUAGGGCGAAUGAGUAUGUAGUCGUAGACCCGAAACCAUGUGAUCUACCCAUGUCCAGGUUGAAGGUGCGGUAAAACGCACUGGAGGACCGAACCCACGUACGUUGAAAAGUGCGGGGAUGAGGUGUGGGUAGCGGAGAAAUUCCAAACGAACUUGGAGAUAGCUGGUUCUCUCCGAAAUAGCUUUAGGGCUAGCCUCGGAAUUGAGAAUGAUGGAGGUAGAGCACUGUUUGGACUAGGGGCCCAUCUCGGGUUACCGAAUUCAGAUAAACUCCGAAUGCCAUUCAUUUAUAUCCGGGAGUCAGACUGCGAGUGAUAAGAUCCGUAGUCGAAAGGGAAACAGCCCAGACCACCAGCUAAGGUCCCAAAAUAUAUGUUAAGUGGAAAAGGAUGUGGGGUUGCACAGACAACUAGGAUGUUGGCUUAGAAGCAGCCACCAUUUAAAGAGUGCGUAAUAGCUCACUAGUCGAGUGACCCUGCGCCGAAAAUGUACCGGGGCUAAACAUAUUACCGAAGCUGUGGACUACACCAUUAGGUGUAGUGGUAGGAGAGCGUUCUAAGGGCGU